rnacentral:rRNA from 1 species
UACGAAGGGGGCUAGCGUUGCUCGGAAUUAUUGGGCGUAAAGAGCUCGUAGGCGGUCUGUUGCGUCCGCUGUGAAAACUCGGGGCUUAACCCCGAGCCUGCAGUGGAUACGGGCAGACUAGAGGUAGGUAGGGGAGAAUGGAAUUCCCGGUGUAGCGGUGAAAUGCGCAGAUAUCAGGAAGAACACCCGUGGCGAAGGCGGCUCUCUGGGACGGUACUGACGCUGAGACGCGAAAGCGUGGGGAGCGAACAGG